CCUACGGGUGGCUGCAGUAGGGAAUCUUCCACAAUGGACGAAAGUCUGAUGGAGCAACGCCGCGUGAGUGAAGAAGGGUUUCGGCUCGUAAAGCUCUGUUGGUAGUGAAGAAAGAUAGAGGUAGUAACUAGCCUUUAUUUUACGGUAAUUUCUUAGGAAGUCACGGCUAACUACGUGCCAGUAGCCGCCGUAAGACGGAGGUGGCAAGCGUUGUCCGGAUUUAUUUGGCGUAAAGCGAGUGCAGGGGGUUCAGUAAGUCUGAUGUGAAAGCCUUCGGCUAAACCGGAGCAUUGCAUCAGAAACUGUUUAACUUGAGUGCAGAUGAGGAGAGUGGAACUCCAUGUGUAGCGGUGAAAUGCGUAGAUAUAUGGAAGAACACCAGUGGCGAAGGCGGCUCUCUGGUCUGCAACUGACGCUGAGGCUCGAAAGCAUGGGUAGCGAACAGGAUUAGAUACCCCAGUAGUC
rnacentral:rRNA from 1 species